CUACGGGCGGCAGCAGUGAGGAAUAUUGCACAAUGGGGGGAACCCUGAUGCAGCAAUGCCGCGUGGAGGAUGACGCAUUUCGGUGUGUAAACUCCUUUUAUAUGUCAAGAAAAUGACGGUAGCAUAUGAAUAAGCACCCGCUAACUCCGUGCCAGCAGCCGCGGUAAUACGGAGGGUGCAAGCGUUACUCGGAAUCACUGGGCGUAAAGGACGCGUAGGCGGGUUGGAAAGUCAGGUGUGAAAUCCUACAGCUUAACUGUAGAACUGCACUUGAAACUUCUAAUCUAGAGUAUGGGAGGGGGAGAUGGAAUUAGUGGUGUAGGGGUAAAAUCCGUAGAUAUCACUAGGAAUACCUAAAGCGAAGGCGAUCUCCUGGAACAUUACUGACGCUAAGGCGUGAAAGCGUGGGGAGCAAACAGGAUUAGAUACCCUAGUAGUC
rnacentral:rRNA from 1 species